ACACCAUCUGGCCUUAGCUAAUCCCCAGGCAAGUCCAGGUACUCAGGGUCUCCAGUCUGAAUGGCUUGGGCAAUUAAUUCCAACACUCAACAAGCUGUUAGGUCCGUCUACCUGUCAGUAAAGUCUUCUUCCCAGUUUUAUUGAGAUGUAAUUGACAAAGUAAAAAUCUUGACUAGGCUUUGGACACUUCUUACAGUUCAGACAAUGCAGUUCUAAGCGGUUAGGAAAUACUUUGAAAAGAAAACUGGAUUCUUAGUCCUUAAAGUAUUUUGAUUGAUAUUUAGGGCUAAACAAGAAAGCAGUUGAAAUGUAGGCACAUGGUUUGAUCCUUUGUAACUUUCAGUCAUUAUUUGUAUUCUUAGACUCAGUUCCACAUUCCACAAAGAUUUUUCUGGCUUAAAACAAAACACAACAUUAAAAACAACACUACUCACUCGAAAGCAAGCUUUUAUAAAUGUAGGAACCUUUCUAUAUAUCCCCAGCGUCUAGGAAGUCAAAUAUUUGUUGAAUUAAUUGCAUGAAAGCAUAAAAACCAAGUGAGUCUCUCCAUAAAUGAUCUGUUUCAAUUGUUAAAUAGCAUUUAACCAGAUGAAGACAUUUUGGGAUAGUAGCCACAGGAAGGAAUGUCAUUAUUUGAUUAUCACAUACUUGGGAGGUUAGGGCUUUUUUCCUAAAAAGAUGGUUAACUGGUCAUUUGUAAAGCUAUUCUGAAUACACACAAAGGAAGUUGCAUGGUUGUAUUAGGGUAAAAAGCUAAGCUGCUGUAACAGACUCAACAAAACAGUGGCUUAAAAAACAAAGAGGUUUGUUUCUCACAUAACAACUCUGAGGGGAGUUAACAUUUCUGAAGUGAGCAGUCCAGGUCAGUGGGGCAGCUUUGCUCCAAGCGGUCAUUCAGGGACACAGGCUCCUUAUAUCAUGUUGCCUGCAAUCUCUUGGGGGCAUUGUCAUAACCUGCACGGUUGAAGCUGGGUCAUCAGUGGUUCCAGCCAGUGGGAAGGGAACAGCAUGGAGGCGGCACCCCUGAUGCCUUACUGCCCAGACCCUGCCUUGGUGUGGGGACUGCUCACUUUCUGUAGGCAAGAAUUCAGUCAGACGGCACCUACCUGCAGAGGAGGCUGAGAAAUGUAGGCUAGCCAUGUGCCAAGCAAGAAUGGGGGAACAGUUCUUGGUGGGCAACUUGCCGUCUCCACUAAGUAACAUGGAAAGAGCCCGAAUUCCAGGCUGCUUUAACCAAUUAGCUCCAAUAGCUUGCUAGGGGCAAAUCUCUCCACUUCCCCAGCCAUGAAAUCAGGGAGUUGUCGGAGCUGACCUCUGAUAUAUUGACAAAGUCUUGUCUGAUGAGAUCUUAAAGAGGAGAAUUUAAAAAAACAUUAUAGGGAAUGUGAGACUGAUGGAGACGGUGGGCCAGUGCUAACACUCUGAAGGUGGUGGGGAGGGAAGAUAGGAGGUAUUUAUAGUCCAUCUCCUUAUAAGAAGGAAUCAAGACCCCCCCC